GCGGAAACCCUUCUUUCUCCUGUUUACUGCUUUGGUUUGCUGUUGGCUUAGAAACCGAAUGUUCAAGCCUGUUAAAAAGAUUAAGGCUUCUCCAGGCUUGCAGAAAGUACAGUGAAUGCUAUUACCGGGAUGUUUUCAGAGGCACUGUUCCCACCUGUCUCUACCAUACUCUUGGCAUCUCCAUCAUCUACUUUAACACGACACCCUCUUUUUUAGGGUGUUCUGGAACCAGAGGUAUACCAGAAGAGUGACUCUUGUGAUAAGAAUUUCAAAUAUGGUGAUCACCAUUGGGGAUGCUGGCGGCCGUGAGGAUCUGUAGGGCUUCCGACUGCGAGACGCGCAGCACGCCGCUGUACAUGAAGUCAAUGAGC